UACGAAGGGGGCUAGCGUUGCUCGGAAUCACUGGGCGUAAAGGGUGCGUAGGCGGGUCUUUAAGUCAGGGGUGAAAUCCUGGAGCUCAACUCCAGAACUGCCUUUGAUACUGAGGAUCUUGAGUCCGGGAGAGGUGAGUGGAACUGCGAGUGUAGAGGUGAAAUUCGUAGAUAUUAGCAAGAACACCAGUGGCGAAGGCGGCUCACUGGCCCGGUACUGACGCUGAGGUACGAAAGCGUGGGGAGCAAACAGG
rnacentral:rRNA from 1 species